ensembl:snRNA U6 U6 spliceosomal RNA
GUGCUCGCUUGGGCAACACAUAUACUUAAAUUGGAACAGUACAGAGAUUAGCAUGGCCCCUGUGCAAGGAUGACACGCAGAUGCGUGAAACAUUCCACAUUUAU